ACAAGCUGGAGAAGAUGACAUCAUCACACGUGUCAUGUACCAUGCUGUCAAAAUACAAAGUAGAGCUGCAGUCUAUUCAGAAGUGAGAACUGAAGACAUCACUUACCAGCCAGGAACCAUCAGAACAAAGAAAGCCCAGAUUUUAAACCAGAACCAGACGUCGUCUACUCUUCACUGAAGUAGUCCACCAGUCCAUCCACUGAUGUCCAGCUACUGGUCUCUAACUGGUCUCCCAGCACCUCAGACCAGAGGACAUCCACAUUAUAUUAUCUUU